GACGUAGGAGGCGAGCGUUGUCCGGAAUUACUGGGCGUAAAGGGCGCGUAGGCGGUGCGGUAAGUCACCUGUGAAAUCUCCUGGCUCAACUGGGAGCUUGCAGGCGAAACUGCCGUGCUGGAGUGUGGGAGAGGUGCGUGGAAUUCCUGGUGUAGCGGUGAAAUGACGUAGAUAUCAGGAGGAACACCUGUGGCGAAAGCGGCGCACUGGACCACAACUGACGCUGAGGCGCGAAAGCUAGGGGAGCAAACAGG
rnacentral:rRNA from 1 species